GAUGAAGAACGCAGUGAAAUGCGAUAAGUAAUGUGAAUUGCAGAAUUCAGUGAAUCAUCGAAUCUUUGAACGCACAUUGCGCCCCCUGGUAUUCCGGGGGGCAUGCCUGUUCGAGCGUCAUUUCACCACUCAAGCCUCGCUUGGUAUUGGGCAACGCGGUCCGCCGUGUGCCUCAAAUCGACCGGCUGGGUCUUCUGUCCCCUAAGCGUUGUGGAAACUAUUCGCUAAAGGGUGUUCGGGAGGCUACGCCGUAAAACAACCCCAUUUCUAAGGUUGACCUCGGAUCAGGUAGGGAUACCCGCUGAACUUAAGCAUAUCAAUAAGCGGAGGA
rnacentral:misc_RNA from 1 species